rnacentral:rRNA from 1 species
GACGAACGCUGGCGGCGUGCUUAACACAUGCAAGUCGAGCGGUAAGGCCCUUUCGGGGGUACACGGGCGGCGAACGGGUGAGUAACACGUGGGUGACCUGCCCUCAGCUCUGGGAUAAGCCUGGGAAACCGGGUCUAAUACUGGAUAUGACUCCAUGACGCAUGUUGUGGGGUGGAAAGCCUUGUGCGGCUGAGGAUGGGCCCGCGGCCUAUCAGCUUGUUGGUGGGGUGANGGCCUACCAAGGCGACGACGGGUAGCCGGCCUGAGAGGGCGACCGGCCACACUGGGACUGAGACACGGCCCAGACUCCUACGGGAGGCAGCAGUGGGGAAUCUUGCGCAAUGGGCGAAAGCCUGACGCAGCGACGCCGCGUGAGGGAUGGCGGCCU